GAAUGUAUUUCUUUUUCCAUCACUUCUCGCACAUUGAAUAUUUUUUAAAAUGGACAAAAACUUGGACCGAUUCGAUAGUGCGGCUCAGGCAGUUAUCGAAACAUUCGAAUUCGAAACAUUUUAUCCAAGUCUUCGCCAAGCUGUCGAGAGGUCCGAGGACGUGAAAUUCCAUCGGGAGAGGUUAUGUCGCGAAUGGAAAUAAAGUGACAGCGGGUGGAACGACCACCGAUCAGUGAAACUUAUUCCACAUAAAAUGGAAGAUUCCGUGCACACGUUAAGAUCACGAGAAUCUAACGGAAAUCGAAAAUUCCAACUUUGAGAGUUUAAAUAUGGAAAUAUGCUUGAAAUAUACAGCUUGCAUCUGUUCCCCGAAUUGUUACAGGAUCUACUUUGUCGAGCGAACAAUUAACGAAAUUUUUUUUAAGGAGUUUCGGUACAAAAGUCAAAAUAUUAAAAAAUUGAUCAAAUUUGGUGAUAAUGUUCUUCAACAUCAACAUGGUUUAGCAUGGCAACAUUGUAUCGCCUGUACCGAAACUCCUUAAAGGUUAUACACAGCCUCUUGUGACAGGCACACUCCCUGUGCUUUUUAUAAACCAAUGAUGUCUCGAGGAAGCCUUGUUACCGGUGAAAAUCACUUGGGAAUGGAAAAAGAAAAACACUUAUUUGAGGCUAACGAGUAAUAACGACAAACGGUGGAAGCUUGACAACCCUGUGCCAGCUGGUUUAAAACAUGGACACGCACAUAAAUAGAAAAUGGCUGUUGUUACAUUUUGCUUGACAAUUUUACCACGAAAGUAUUCAAACCGCUAUCAUUGUAUAAAAAAUUGAUCAAUCUCAACAAUAAAAAAAUAAUUUUAAUAA